rnacentral:lncRNA from 1 species
GCCCGCCUCCCUGCGAGCCGAUCUCGGUCCGCUCCGAGGGAAGGGAAAAUAAAGCAUGUUUGUGUGAGAGCGCGCUGUCACAAGAGGCGAGGGAGGGGGGUAGGGUGGACUCCGGUUCGGGUGAGGGGGUGGGCUCGGUGGAUCGAGAGGGAGAGAGGACCUGGCCCUUUAAAUAGAUCAACCAUUCGGUGGGAAGAGACGUUAGCCUGGAGACUCUCCGAAAAAGCUGAGCUUACUGUACGUUUGCCCUGGUCAAGGAACAGUUUGAGACCAAGCGAAAAGCGUGAGGCCAUACAAAACCUUGGUGGCCAGCCAGCAGGACGUGCGUGCUCCGGGUUUCACAUCAUGUCCGGAUUGUAUGGCCUUGUCCAUAGGUGGCAUCCCUGUGGAAUUGCACCAAAGGAAGAAUGCAGUGUGAAGUUAUGCCUGACUGUGGCUAGCUGCCGCCAGGACUGAACAGCGACGGUUUUGAUUAACGCCGCAUAAUUCCCCCACCGCGCUUUGAAGAACAGUCUUGGAAAAUCAGAUCAGAAAUAUGGCAAGAAUUAUUUCCAAGCACAGAAUUACUGGCAUACCUGCCCUAGUGGCUCCUUUUCAAGUUAUGUGGUUUCAGAUAUCUCUAGGCUAAUAAAACCUCUUCCUGUCUUACAACAGGUGCCAUAAAAGAAGUCAAAUGCUUGUGCUUUUGUCAGACAAAAUACAGCAGGUGGGGCUAGCACUAAAACAAAACAGUUUCAUUGCUGGCUUGUGGAGAAAACUGCAUCCCACAUAGUUUGGAUUCAUUGGACUGCUCUGAGCUGUUGGCCACAUGUGUCCCCUUUAAGGUGAACUGUCGCAGAAUAGCCAUGAUAAUGCUGGAGUCAAAUGAGAUUACAGGCACAGGUAGGCGUAAAGCAGGAGACAAUGGAGAGUGGCAGAGAUAUCUCUGGACUAACUGGAGGGAUGUGGGUUCAUGGCAUCGCUGAGCAAGGUACUUCACCAGGAUUGCUUCGGUCAGCUCAGCUAUGUGAGGUAUCUCUGUAACUCAGGUUGCAUCCUAUCCAAAGAUAUUAAGGUGUGAUUUUCAGCUCAACUUGCUUGCCCUCUGAAAUGCUAAGGACACAUAGUUUAGCAAGGUCAUGGGUCCAAGAACUGUUGCAGCUUUGUUUGAUCCAACACAAUGUGCAGAGGUGAUCAGUAAACCUCUGAGUUGUUACUGCAGGCCAGACGAAGGAAAACACACACUUGGGCCCAGCAAUGCGUGCCCUUUGCCAGCUACUGGCCACCACUUAGAGGAAUUCUAAUGGAUUUGCAAAUGGGCAAUGACCCAGUUCAGAUUUGAAUCCACAUCUUCUGAAACUACAGGGACUACCCAGCAUUUUACACAGAAGCCUUCUCCAUCUUUCCAGGACCUGUGAUUACAACACUCUCAGAGUACUGCAGAGGAGAGAUAGAGGCAAUCUGUGAAAUUACAGACUAUAGCCAGGUCAUACUGGAAACUGAAUGGUGAUAAGUUUCUAACUGUUGAGUCUCACACAAUACUGCGUAUUGUACAGAUCCAUUCAGUUCAGAAAAUCUAGAGUUCUUCAGAACUUGUGGGGAGACUAUAAUAUAAUUUUGGACUUUGAAACUCAAGAACAGUUCUAAACAGGAGGAAGCCAUUUGGCCUGUUUUGUAGUUAGAGCUCUGAAGUUCUGCUCCAGGUGUUUCCUGAAGAAAGAGAAGGUGUCGGCUUCAAUCACAUGGCUGGGUAGAUUGCUCUGCGAUCUGUGAUCCUAUUAUAUUUUGUUAUAUCCACCUGUUUUGGAAAAGCAUGUGUGCGUUUCACAUCUCUACCCACACCUACAAACACACGGGCAGCAGCAGGCCGGCCCCCAGGAAGCACGGCGCCGUGCUGCAGCUUCAGCGCUGACUGGAGGAGAGGCGCGAUCCUUACCGACAGGCGGCUGCAGGGGGCGCUAUCACUGCCACUGAGCGCUGGCAGAGCCCUGGUGGACUCAUCCCGCCCAAUCCUCUGCACCGCUCAGCCACUUCCUGGGGGAAUCCUGGUCACAGUCGGCCAGUGACGGGCCCAGAGCUCGAACCUAUGAUCUCGGAAAGAGCAGCUUUAUUGCUCUUGAGCCACUUGGGAAGGGUUCACAUUUCACCCACUUUUAAAAAGCAAACAUGAGCUUCAGCUUUUUUUCCUCUUUAAUUACAUUUCUCUGCUGCCUUUCAUUUAAGCCCUGAGCUGCAAAACACCCAAAUUUCACAAAAGGUGGCACAAAGGCAUCAGGCUGAGUUACAGCCUCGUGUGACAAAGACCUCAAGCUGCAGAACAUGAGGACUGCCCGGGCU